rnacentral:lncRNA from 1 species
GACUUAAUAUCAGAACGUGAAAUAUUGUUGAUGAAUUAAUUUUGAAUGUCAAUCAUUUAGUUGCCAUUUUCCAUUUUACAAAUAUGAUAAGUGUGAUAAAAACUUUUUAACAACAACAAGGUUAUAAGAUUUUACGCUUUGCAUAAUUAUUUCUACAUUGUGGCACAUACAUAUCACUGUUAGGGGAAUCUGGUAUAGCUCAUUCAAUUUUGAGAUGCACGUGAAUUUUUAACCAUCAACAUAACAUGUGCAUACAC